rnacentral:rRNA from 1 species
UACGGAGGGGGCUAGCGUUGUUCGGAAUUACUGGGCGUAAAGCGCGCGUAGGCGGACCUGCAAGUCGGGGGGUGAAAGCCCGAGGCUCAACCUCGGAACUGCCUUCGAUACUGCGGGUCUCGAGUCCGGGAGAGGUGAGUGGAAUUCCUAGUGUAGAGGUGAAAUUCGUAGAUAUUAGGAAGAACACCAGUGGCGAAGGCGGCUCACUGGCCCGGUACUGACGCUGAGGCGCGAAAAGCGUGGGGAGCAAACAGG